rnacentral:rRNA from 1 species
UACGUAGGGGGCAAGCGUUUGUCCGGAUUUAUUGGGCGUAAAGAGCGUGUAGGCGGCCAGGCAGGUCCGCUGUGAAAACUCGAGGCUCAACCUCGAGAGGUCGGUGGAAACCGUUUGGCUAGAGUCCGGAAGAGGAGAGUGGAAUUCCCGGUGUAGCGGUGAAAUGCGCAGAUAUCGGGAAGAACACCCGUGGCGAAGGCGGCUCUCUGGGACGGUACUGACGCUGAGGAGCGAAAGCGUGGGGAGCGAACAGG